AUAAACAACGUGCCCCAAAGAUCGGGAUAGCCCGGGGAAACCCGGAGUAAUACCGGAUGUGGCCGUCGAAGGGCAUCCUUUGACGAUUAAAUGGUUUUUCGCUUUGGGAGCGGUUUAUGGCCUAUCAGGUAGUUGGUGGGGUAACGGCCUACCAAGCCGACGACGGGUAGCGGGUCUGAGAGGAUGACCCGCUCGAGUGGGACUGAGACACGGCC
rnacentral:rRNA from 1 species